rnacentral:rRNA from 1 species
GGGUUGUGAGGUUAAGCGACUAAGCGUACACGGUGGAUGCCCUGGCAGUCAGAGGCGAUGAAGGACGUGCUAAUCUGCGAUAAGCGUCGGUAAGGUGAUAUGAACCGUUAUAACCGGCGAUUUCCGAAUGGGGAAACCCAGUGUGUUUCGACACACUAUCAUUAACUGAAUCCAUAGGUUAAUGAGGCGAACCGGGGGAACUGAAACAUCUAAGUACCCCGAGGAAAAGAAAUCAACCGAGAUUCCCCCAGUAGCGGCGAGCGAACGGGGAGCAGCCCAGAGCCUGAAUCAGUGUGUGUGUUAGUGGAAGUGUCUGGAAAGGCGCGCGAUACAGGGUGACAGCCCCGUACACAAAAAUGCACAUGCUGUGAGCUCGAUGAGUAGGGCGGGACACGUGGUAUCCUGUCUGAAUAUGGGGGGACCAUCCUCCAAGGCUAAAUACUCCUGACUGACCGAUAGUGAACCAGUACCGUGAGGGAAAGGCGAAAAGAACCCCGGCGAGGGGAGUGAAAAAGAACCUGAAACCGUGUACGUACAAGCAGUGGGAGCCCUGAUUUAUCAGGGUGACUGCGUACCUUUUGUAUAAUGGGUCAGCGACUUAUAUUCUGUAGCAAGGUUAACCGAAUAGGGGAGCCGGAGGGAAACCGAGUCUUAACUGGGCGUUAAGUUGCAGGGUAUAGACCCGAAACCCGGUGAUCUAGCCAUGGGCAGGUUGAAGGUUGGGUAACACUAACUGGAGGACCGAACCGACUAAUGUUGAAAAAUUAGCGGAUGACUUGUGGCUGGGGGUGAAAGGCCAAUCAAACCGGGAGAUAGCUGGUUCUCCCCGAAAGCUAUUUAGGUAGCGCCUCGUGAAUUCAUCUCCGGGGGUAGAGCACUGUUUCGGCAAGGGGGUCAUCCCGACUUACCAACCCGAUGCAAACUGCGAAUACCGGAGAAUGUUAUCACGGGAGACACACGGCGGGUGCUAACGUCCGUCGUGAAGAGGGAAACAACCCAGACCGCCAGCUAAGGUCCCAAAGUCAUGGUUAAGUGGGAAACGAUGUGGGAAGGCCCAGACAGCCAGGAUGUUGGCUUAGAAGCAGCCAUCAUUUAAAGAAAGCGUAAUAGCUCACUGGUCGAGUCGGCCUGCGCGGAAGAUGUAACGGGGCUAAACCAUGCACCGAAGCUGCGGCAGCGACACUGUGUGUUGUUGGGUAGGGGAGCGUUCUGUAAGCCUGUGAAGGUGUGCUGUGAGGCAUGCUGGAGGUAUCAGAAGUGCGAAUGCUGACAUAAGUAACGAUAAAGCGGGUGAAAAGCCCGCUCGCCGGAAGACCAAGGGUUCCUGUCCAACGUUAAUCGGGGCAGGGUGAGUCGACCCCUAAGGCGAGGCCGAAAGGCGUAGUCGAUGGGAAACAGGUUAAUAUUCCUGUACUUGGUGUUACUGCGAAGGGGGGACGGAGAAGGCUAUGUUGGCCGGGCGACGGUUGUCCCGGUUUAAGCGUGUAGGCUGGUUUUCCAGGCAAAUCCGGAGAAUCAAGGCUGAGGCGUGAUGACGAGGCACUACGGUGCUGAAGCAACAAAUGCCCUGCUUCCAGGAAAAGCCUCUAAGCAUCAGGUAACAUCAAAUCGUACCCCAAACCGACACAGGUGGUCAGGUAGAGAAUACCAAGGCGCUUGAGAGAACUCGGGUGAAGGAACUAGGCAAAAUGGUGCCGUAACUUCGGGAGAAGGCACGCUGAUAUGUAGGUGAAGCGACUUGCUCGUGGAGCUGAAAUCAGUCGAAGAUACCAGCUGGCUGCAACUGUUUAUUAAAAACACAGCACUGUGCAAACACGAAAGUGGACGUAUACGGUGUGACGCCUGCCCGGUGCCGGAAGGUUAAUUGAUGGGGUCAGCGCAAGCGAAGCUCUUGAUCGAAGCCCCGGUAAACGGCGGCCGUAACUAUAACGGUCCUAAGGUAGCGAAAUUCCUUGUCGGGUAAGUUCCGACCUGCACGAAUGGCGUAAUGAUGGCCAGGCUGUCUCCACCCGAGACUCAGUGAAAUUGAACUCGCUGUGAAGAUGCAGUGUACCCGCGGCAAGACGGAAAGACCCCGUGAACCUUUACUAUAGCUUGACACUGAACACUGGUCCUUGAUGUGUAGGAUAGGUGGGAGGCUUUGAAGUGUGGACGCCAGUCUGCAUGGAGCCGUCCUUGAAAUACCACCCUUUAAUGGCUGGUGUUCUAACGUUGGCCCCUUACCGGGGUUGCGGACAGUGUCUGGUGGGUAGUUUGACUGGGGCGGUCUCCUCCUAAAGAGUAACGGAGGAGCACGAAGGUUGGCUAAUCCUGGUCGGACAUCAGGAGGUUAGUGCAAUGGCAUAAGCCAGCUUGACUGCGAGCGUGACGGCGCGAGCAGGUGCGAAAGCAGGUCAUAGUGAUCCGGUGGUUCUGAAUGGAAGGGCCAUCGCUCAACGGAUAAAAGGUACUCCGGGGAUAACAGGCUGAUACCGCCCAAGAGUUCAUAUCGACGGCGGUGUUUGGCACCUCGAUGUCGGCUCAUCACAUCCUGGGGCUGAAGUAGGUCCCAAGGGUAUGGCUGUUCGCCAUUUAAAGUGGUACGCGAGCUGGGUUUAGAACGUCGUGAGACAGUUCGGUCCCUAUCUGCCGUGGGCGCUGGAGAACUGAGGGGGGCUGCUCCUAGUACGAGAGGACCGGAGUGGACGCAUCACUGGUGUUCGGGUUGUCAUGCCAAUGGCACUGCCCGGUAGCUAAAUGCGGAAGAGAUAAGUGCUGAAAGCAUCUAAGCACGAAACUUGCCCCGAGAUGAGUUCUCCCUGAGACUUAGAGUCUCCUGAAGGAACGUUGAAGACGACGACGUUGAUAGGCCGGGUGUGUAAGCGCAGCGAUGCGUUGAGCUAACCGGUACUAAUGAACCGUGAGGCUUAACCUUACAACGCCGAAG